GUAGGGAAUAUUGGGCAAUGGAGGCAACUCUGACCCAGCCAUGCCGCGUGCAGGAUGACGGCCCUCUGGGUUGUAAACUGCUUUUAUACGGGAAGAAAAAAUACUACGUGUAGUAUACUGACGGUACCGUAAGAAUAAGGAUCGGCUAACUCCGUGCCAGCAGCCGCGGUAAUACGGAGGAUCCAAGCGUUGUCCGGAUUUAUUGGGUUUAAAGGGUGCGUAGGCGGAUCUUUAAGUCAGUGGUGAAAGCCUGCAGCUUAACUGUAGAAUUGCCAUUGAAACUGAAGAUCUUGAAUGUGGGUAAAGUAGGCGGAAUGUAUCAUGUAGCGGUGAAAUGCUUAGAUAUGAUACAGAACACCGAUAGCGAAGGCAGCUUGCUGAACCAUUAUUGACGCUGAGGCACGAAAGCGUGGGGAGCGAACAGGAUUAGAAACCCGGGUAGUCC
rnacentral:rRNA from 1 species